UUGACAUCCCCGCAUGCUCUGGAGACGAGAGCGGAGGUAGUCCGGGGAGACAGGUGGGUGGCAUGGUUGUCGUCAGCUCGUGUCGUGAGAUGUUGGGUUAAGUCCCGCAACGAGCGCAACCCUUAUUGCUAGUUACCAUCAUUGAUUGGGGACUCUAGCGAGACUGCCAGCGAUAAGCUGGAGGAAGGUGGGGAUGACGUCAAAUCAUCAUGCCCCUUAUGACCUGGGCUACAAACGUGAUACAAUGGCUGGAACAAAGGGAGGCGAAGGGGUGACCUGGAGCGAAACCCAAAAUACAGUCUCAGUUCGGAUUGAAGUCUGCAACUCGACUUCAUGAAGUCGGAAUCGCUAGUAAUCGCGGAUCAGAACGCCGCGGUGAAUACGUUCUCGGGGUUU
rnacentral:rRNA from 1 species